rnacentral:lncRNA from 1 species
AAAUAGGUCUCUUCAGUCUCAGGUUUAUAUAUGCUGCAGUUUUAAGCUGAAUUCAGCCCUGAAGCAUGACAUCUAAGAAAGAACAUUUUACCAGAUCAAAAGAUUGCAUUGUGUUCAUGGAAACACUGGAACAAAGAUUAUAGAGCUCUGAAAUUUCAGCCAAGGAGAAACUUUGCCAACAUUUUUUACCUGGAAAAAAAUGAUUUUGAAAAAGAAAAGAAACUUCAGCACUGGGCUCCCUCAAUAGGCAGUAAUCUGCAAUACCAGAUAUGGG